GACUCUGUGGCGCAACGGUAGUGGCGCCUCUGACUCCAGAUCAGAAGGUUGCGUGUUCAAAUCACGUCAGGGUCA